UCCGUAGGUGAACCUGCGGAAGGAUCACAGUAAUCGUCU
rnacentral:rRNA from 1 species